rnacentral:lncRNA from 1 species
UUGAACUUGAGUCUGUGUUGUUUUGAACUUGAGGAUGUGGCAAUUGUUAAACUUGACAAUCAGGUGUUGGUUGAACUUGAGUUUGUGUCGUGUUUGAACUUGAGUUCGUGUUGUUUGUUUAACUUGAGGUUGUGUGUUUUUUGAACUUGAGGUUGUGAAAAUUUUUAAACUUGAAAAUCAGGUGUUGGUUGAACUUGAGUUUGUGUUUUUUUUUGUCGGGUUUUACCUUGAGUUUGUAGUUUUUUGUACUUGAUUUUAUGGUGUUUUUGAACUUGAGUUUGUGUCGUGUUUGAACUUGAGUUUGUGUUGUGUUUGAACUUGAGUUUGUGGUGUUUUUGAAAUUGAGUUUGUGUGUUUGGUGAACUUGAAUUUGUGUGUUUUUUUAACUUGAGUUUCUGUUGUUUUUGAACUUGAGGUUGUGGAAAUUGUUAAACUUGAGAAUCAGGUGUUGGUUGAACUUGAGUUUGUAGUUUUUUUUUAACUUGAGUUAGUGAUGUGUUUAAACUUGAGUUUGUGUUGUUUUGGCACUUGAGUUUGUUUCGUGUUUGAACUUGAGUUUUCUGCGUUUGUUGAACUUGAGUUUUUUUCAUUUUGAACUUGAGUUUGUGGUGUUAUUGAACUUGAGUUUGUGGUGUUUUUGAACUUGAGGGUGUGGAUUUUGUUAAACUUGAGAAUUUUGUAUUGUUUGAACUUGAGUUUGUGUGUUUUUUGAACUUGAGUUUGUGUCGUGUUUGAACUUGAGUUCGUGUUGAUUGUUGAACUGGAGUUUUUGUGUUUUUUGAACUUGAGGUUGUGGCAAUUGUUAGACUUGAGAUUUGGGUGUUGGUUGAACUUGAGUUUGUGUCGUGUUUGAACUUGAGUUCGUGUUGAUUGUUGAACUUGAGUUUGUGUGUUUUUUGAACUUGAGAUUUUGUCGUGUUUGAACUUGAGUAUGUUGUGUAAUUGAACUUGAGUUGAGUCUGGUUUUUAAACUUAAGGUUGCGGAACUGUUAAACUUGAAAAUCAGGUAUUAGUGUAACUUGAGUUUGUGGUUUUAUUUAACUUCAGUUUGUGUCGUGUUUGAACUUGAGUUUGUAGUGUUUUUGAACUUGAGUUUGUGGUGUUUUUGAACUUGAGUUUGUUUCGUAUUUGAACAUGAGUUUGUGGCGUUUGUUGAACUUGAGUUUUUGUCGUGUUUGAACUUGAGGUUGUGGCAAUUGUUUUACUUGAGAUUUUGUUGUUGGUUGACCUUUAGUUUGUGUCACAUUUGAACUUGAGUUUGUGGUGUUUUUGAACUUGAAUUUGUGUGUUUCGUGAACUUGAGUUUAUGGUGUUUUCGAACUUGAAUCUGUUGUUGAACUUGAGGUUGUUGAAAUUGUUAAACUUGAGAAUUGGGUAUUGGUUGAACUUGAGAUUGUGAUUUUGUUUAACUUGAGUUUUUGUUGUGUUUCAACUUGAGUUUCUGAUGUUCUUGAAUUUGAGUUUGUGUGUUUGUUGAACUUGAGUUUGUUUCGUGUUUGAACUUGAGUUUGUGUCAUUUUUGAACUUGAGGUUGUGGUGUGUUUGAACUUGAGUUUGUGUGUAUUUUGAACUUAAGGUUGUGGUAAUUUUAAAACUUGAGAUUUGGGAAUUGGUUGAACUUGAGUCUGUGUUGUUGUUGAACUUGAGGUUUUUGAAAUUGUGAAACUUGAGAAUUGGGUAUUGGUUGAACUUGAGUUUGUGAUUUUGUUGAACUUGAGUUUGUGUCGUGUUUAAACUUGAGUUUGUGGUGUUUUUGAACUUGAGUUUGUGUUGUGUUUGAACUUGAGUUUGUUUCUUUCUUGACUUGAGUUUGUGGCAUUUGUUGAACUUGAGUUUGUGUCGUGUUUGAACUUGAAUUUGUGGUGUUUUCGAACUUGAGUUUGUGGUGUUUUUGAACUUGAGGUUGUGGUGUUUUUGAACUUGAGGAUGUGGAAAUUGUUCAACUUGAGAAUUGGGUAUUGGUUUAACUUGAGUUUUUUGUGUUUUUGAACUUGAGUUUGUGUCGUGUUUGAACUUGAGUUUGUGGUGUUUUUGAACUUGAAUUUGGGUGUUUGGUGAACUUGAGUUUUUGUGUUUUUUGAACUUGAGUUUCUGUUGUUUUUGAACUUGAGUUUGUGGAAAUUGUUGUGGAAAAACUUGAGAAUUUGGUAUUUGUUGAACUUGAGUCUGUGUUGUUGUUGAACUUGAGGUUGUUGAAAUUGUGAAACUUGAGAAUUGGGUAUUGGUUGAACUUGAGUUUGUGAUUUUUUUUAACUUGAGUUUGUGUCAUGUUUUAACUUGAGUUUGUGAUGUUUUUGAAUUUGAGUUUGUGUGUUUGUUGAACUUGAGUUUGUGUUGUGUUUGAACUUGAAUUUGUGGCAAAUGUUGAACUUGAGUCUGUGCUUUUUGGUGAACUUUAGUUGGUGGGAAUUGUUGAACUUGAGUUUGUGGCAUAUGUUGAACUUGAGUUUGUGACGUGUUUGAACUUGCGUUAGUUUUUUUUUUACUUGAGGUUGUGGUGUUUUUGAACUUGAGGUUUUGGAAAUUGUUUAACUUGAGAAUUGGGUAUUGGUUUAACUUGAGUUUGUGUGUUUGUUGAACUUGAGGUUGUGGCAAUUGUUAAACUUGAGUUUGUGUGUUUUUUGAACUUGAGUUUGCGGUGUGUUUGAACUAGAGUUUCUGUUGUUUUUGAACUUGAGUUUGUGGCAUUUGUUGAACUUGAGUUUGUGACGUGUUUGAACUUGGGUUUGUGUGUUUUUUGAACUUGAAUUUCUGUUGUUUUUGAACUUGAGGUAUUGGAAAUUGUUAAACCUUAGAAUCAGCUGUUGGUUGAACUUGAGUUUGUGUUUUGUUGAACUUGAGUUUGUGUCGUGUUUGAACUUUAGUUUGUGGUGUUUUUGAACUUGAGUUUGUGUGUUUGUUGAACUUGAGUUUGUGUUGUGUUUGAACUUGAGUUUGUGGUGUUUUUUAACUUAAGUUUGUGGUGUUUUUGAACUUGAGUUUGUGUGUUUGUUGAACUUGAGUUUGCGGUGUGUUUGAACUAGAGUUUCUGUUGUUUUUGAACUUGAGUUUGUGGCAUUUGUUGAACUUGAGUUUGUGACGUGUUUGAACUUGGGUUUGUGUGUUUUUUGAACUUGAAUUUCUGUUGUUUUUGAACUUGAGGUAUUGGAAAUUGUUAAACCUUAGAAUCAGCUGUUGGUUGAACUUGAGUUUGUGUUUUGUUGAACUUGAGUUUGUGUCGUGUUUGAACUUUAGUUUGUGGUGUUUUUGAACUUGAGCUUGUGUGUUUGUUGAACUUGAGUUUGUGUUGUGUUUGAACUUGAGGUUGUGGCAAUUGUUAAACUUGAGUUUGUGGUGUUUUUGAACUUGAGUUUGCGGUGUGUUUGAACUAGAGUUUCUGUUGUUUUUGAAUUUGAGUUUGUGGCAUUUGUUGAACUUGAGUUUGUGACAUGUUUGAACUUGGGUUUGUGUGUUUUUUGAACUUGAAUUUCUGUUGUUUUUGAACUUGAGGUAUUGGAAAUUGUUAAACCUUAGAAUCAGCUGUUGGUUGAACUUGAGUUUGUGUUUUGUUGAACUUGAGUUUGUGUCGUGUUUGAACUUUGGUUUGUGGUGUUUUUGAACUUGAGUUUGUGGUGUUUUUGAACUUAAGUUUGUGGUGUUUUUCAACUUGAGUUCGUGGUUUUUUUUAACUUGAGGUUGUGGAAAUUGUUAUACUUGAGACCUGGGUAUAGGUCGAACUUGAGGUUUUUUUUUUUAACAUGAGUUUGUGUCGUGUUUGAACUUGAGUUUGUGGUGUUUUUGGACUUGAGUUUGUGGUGUUUUUAACUUAAGGGUGUGCCAAAUGUUAAACUUGAGAAACUGGUAUUGGUUGAACUAGAGUUUUUGGUGUUUUUGAACUUGAGUUUUUGGAAAUUGUUAAACUUGAGAAUCAGAUGUUGGAUGAACUUGAGUUAGUGUGUUUUUUGAACUUGAGUUUGUGUCAUGUUUUAACUUGAGUUUGUGAUGUUUUUGAAUUUGAGUUUGUGUGUUUGUUGAACUUGAGUUUGUGUUGUGUUUGAACUUGAAUUUGUGGCAAAUGUUGAAAUUGAGUCUUUGCUUUUUGGUGAACUUUAGUUGGUGGGAAUUGUUGAACUUGAGUUUGUGGCAUAUGUUGAACUUGAGUUUGUGACGUGUUUGAACUUGCGUUAGUUUUUUUUUUACUUGAGGUUGUGGUGUUUUUGAACUUGAGGUUUUGGAAAUUGUUUAACUUGAGAAUUGGGUAUUGGUUUAACUUGAGUUUGUGUGUUUGUUGAACUUGAGGUUGUGGCAAUUGUUAAACUUGAGUUUGUGGUGUUUUUGAACUUGAGUUUGUGUGUUUUUUGAACUUGAGUUUGCGGUGUGUUUGAACUAGAGUUUCUGUUGUUUUUGAACUUGAGUUUGUGGCAUUUGUUGAACUUGAGUUUGUGACGUGUUUGAACUUGGGUUUGUGUGUUUUUUGAACUUGAAUUUCUGUUGUUUUUGAACUUGAGGUAUUGGAAAUUGUUAAACCUUAGAAUCAGCUGUUGGUUGAACUUGAGUUUGUGUUUUCUUGAACUUGAGUUUGUGUCGUGUUUGAACUUUAGUUUGUGGUGUUUUUGAACUUGAGUUUGUGUGUUUGUUGAACUUGAGUUUGUGUUGUGUUUGAACUUGAGUUUGUGGUGUUUUUGAACUAGAGUUUCUGUUGUUUUUGAACUUGAGUUUGUGGCAUUUGUUGAACUUGAGUUUGUGACGUGUUUGAACUUGGGUUUGUGUGUUUUUUGAACUUGAAUUUCUGUUGUUUUUGAACUUGAGGUAUUGGAAAUUGUUAAACCUUAGAAUCAGCUGUUGGUUGAACUUGAGUUUGUGUCGUGUUUGAACUUUAGUUUGUGGUGUUUUUGAACUUGAGCUUGUGUGUUUGUUGAACUUGAGUUUGUGUUGUGUUUGAACUUGAGGUUGUGGCAAUUGUUAAACUUGAGUUUGUGGUGUUUUUGAACUUGAGUUUGCGGUGUGUUUGAACUAGAGUUUCUGUUGUUUUUGAAUUUGAGUUUGUGGCAUUUGUUGAACUUGAGUUUGUGACAUGUUUGAACUUGGGUUUGUGUGUUUUUUGAACUUGAAUUUCUGUUGUUUUUGAACUUGAGGUAUUGGAAAUUGUUAAACCUUAGAAUCAGCUGUUGGUUGAACUUGAGUUUGUGUUUUGUUGAACUUGAGUUUGUGUCGUGUUUGAACUUUGGUUUGUGGUGUUUUAGAACUUGAGUUUGUGUGUUUGUUGAACUUGAGUUUGUGUUUUGUUGAACUUGAGUUUGUGUCGUGUUUGAACUUUGGUUUGUGGUGUUUUUGAACUUGAGUUUGUGUGUUUGUUGAACUUGAGUUUGUGUUGUGUUUGAACUUGAGUUUGUGGUGUUUUUGAACUUAAGUUUGUGGUGUUUUUCAACUUGAGUUUGUGGUUUUUUUUAACUUGAGGUUGUGGAAAUUGUUAUACUUGAGACCUGGGUAUAGGUCGAACUUGAGUUUUUUUUUUUAACAUGAGUUUGUGUCGUGUUUGAACUUGAGCUUGUGGUGUUUUUGGACUUUAGUUUGUGGUGUUUUUGAACUUGAGUUUGUGUGUUUGUUGAACUUGAGUUUGUGUUGUGUUUGAACUUGAGUUUGUGGUGUUUUUUAACUUAAGUUUGUGGUGUUUUUGAACUUGAGUUUGUGUGUUUGUUGAACUUGAGUUUGCGGUGUGUUUGAACUAGAGUUUCUGUUGUUUUUGAACUUGAGUUUGUGUGUUUGUUGAACUUGAGUUUGUGUUGUGUUUGAACUUGAGUUUGUGGUGUUUUUGAACUUGAGUUUGUGUGUUUGUUGAACUUGAGUUUGUGUUGUGUUUGAACUUGAGGUUUUGGAAAUUGUUUAACUUGAGAAUUGGGUAUUGGUUUAACUUGAGUUUGUGUGUUUGUUGAACUUGAGGUUGUGGCAAUUGUUAAACUUGAGUUUGUGGUGUUUUUGAACUUGAGUUUGUGUGUUUUUUGAACUUGAGUUUGCGGUGUGUUUGAACUAGAGUUUCUGUUGUUUUUGAACUUGAGUUUGUGGCAUUUGUUGAACUUGAGUUUGUGACGUGUUUGAACUUGGGUUUGUGUGUUUUUUGAACUUGAAUUUCUGUUGUUUUUGAACUUGAGGUAUUGGAAAUUGUUAAACCUUAGAAUCAGCUGUUGGUUGAACUUGAGUUUGUGUUUUCUUGAACUUGAGUUUGUGUCGUGUUUGAACUUUAGUUUGUGGUGUUUUUGAACUUGAGUUUGUGUGUUUGUUGAACUUGAGUUUGUGUUGUGUUUGAACUUGAGUUUGUGGUGUUUUUGAACUAGAGUUUCUGUUGUUUUUGAACUUGAGUUUGUGGCAUUUGUUGAACUUGAGUUUGUGACGUGUUUGAACUUGGGUUUGUGUGUUUUUUGAACUUGAAUUUCUGUUGUUUUUGAACUUGAGGUAUUGGAAAUUGUUAAACCUUAGAAUCAGCUGUUGGUUGAACUUGAGUUUGUGUCGUGUUUGAACUUUAGUUUGUGGUGUUUUUGAACUUGAGCUUGUGUGUUUGUUGAACUUGAGUUUGUGUUGUGUUUGAACUUGAGUUUGUGGCAAUUGUUAAACUUGAGUUUGUGGUGUUUUUGAACUUGAGUUUGCGGUGUGUUUGAGCUAGAGUUUCUGUUGUUUUUGAAUUUGAGUUUGUGGCAUUUGUUGAACUUGAGUUUGUGACAUGUUUGAACUUGGGUUUGUGUGUUUUUUGAACUUGAAUUUCUGUUGUUUUUGAACUUGAGAUAUUGGAAAUUGUUAAACCUUAGAAUCAGCUGUUGGUUGAACUUGAGUUUGUGUUUUGUUGAACUUGAGUUUGUGUCGUGUUUGAACUUUGGUUUGUGGUGUUUUAGAACUUGAGUUUGUGUGUUUGUUGAACUUGAGUUUGUGUUUUGUUGAACUUGAGUUUGUGUCGUGUUUGAACUUUGGUUUGUGGUGUUUUUGAACUUGAGUUUGUGGUGUUUUUGAACUUAAGUUUGUGGUGUUUUUCAACUUGAGUUUGUGGUUUUUUUUAACUUGAGGUUGUGGAAAUUGUUAUACUUGAGACCUGGGUAUAGGUCGAACUUGAGUUUUUUUUUUUAACAUGAGUUUGUGUCGUGUUUGAACUUGAGCUUGUGGUGUUUUUGGACUUUAGUUUGUGGUGUUUUUGAACUUGAGUUUGUGUGUUUGUUGAACUUGAGUUUGUGUUGUGUUUGAACUUGAGUUUGUGGUGUUUUUUAACUUAAGUUUGUGGUGUUUUUGAACUUGAGUUUGUGUGUUUGUUGAACUUGAGUUUGCGGUGUGUUUGAACUAGAGUUUCUGUUGUUUUUGAACUUGAGUUUGUGUGUUUGUUGAACUUGAGUUUGUGUUGUGUUUGAACUUGAGUUUGUGGUGUUUUUGAACUUGAGUUUGUGUGUUUGUUGAACUUGAGUUUGUGUUGUGUUUGAACUUGAGUUUGUGGUGUUUUUGAACUUAAGUUUGUGGUGUUUUUGAACUUGAGUUUGUGUGUUUGUUGAACUUGAGUUUGCGGUGUGUUUGAACUAGAGUUUCUGUUGUUUUUGAACUUGAGUUUGUGGCAUUUGUUGAACUUGAGUUUGUGACGUGUUUGAACUUGGGUUUGUGUGUUUUUUGAACUUGAAUUUCUGUUGUUUUUGAACUUGAGGUAUUGGAAAUUGUUAAACCUUAGAAUCAGCUGUUGGUUGAACUUGAGUUUGUGUUUUGUUGAACUUGAGUUUGUGUUGUGUUUGAACUUGAGUUUGUGGUGUUUUUGAACUUGAGCUUGUGUGUUUGUUGAACUUGAGUUUGUGUUGUGUUUGAACUUGAGGUUGUGGCAAUUGUUAAACUUGAGUUUGUGGUGUUUUUGAACUUGAGUUUGUGUGUUUGUUGAACUUGAGUUUGCGGUGUGUUUGAACUAGAGUUUCUGUUGUUUUUGAACUUGAGUUUAUGGCAUUUGUUGAACUUGAGUUUGUGACGUGUUUGAACUUGGGUUUGUGUGUUUUUUGAACUUGAAUUUCUGUUGUUUUUGAACUUGAGGUAUUGGAAAUUGUUAAACCUUAGAAUCAGCUGUUGGUUGAACUUGAGUUUGUGUUUUGUUGAACUUGAGUUUGUGUCGUGUUUGAACUUUAGUUUGUGGUGUUUUUGAACUUGAGCUUGUGUGUUUGUUGAACUUGAGUUUGUGUUGUGUUUGAACUUGAGGUUGUGGCAAUUGUUAAACUUGAGUUUGUGGUGUUUUUGAACUUGAGUUUGCGGUGUGUUUGAACUAGAGUUUCUGUUGUUUUUGAAUUUGAGUUUGUGGCAUUUGUUGAACUUGAGUUUGUGACAUGUUUGAACUUGGGUUUGUGUGUUUUUUGAACUUGAAUUUCUGUUGUUUUUGAACUUGAGGUAUUGGAAAUUGUUAAACCUUAGAAUCAGCUGUUGGUUGAACUUGAGUUUGUGUUUUGUUGAACUUGAGUUUGUGUCGUGUUUGAACUUUGGUUUGUGGUGUUUUUGAACUUGAGUUUGUGGUGUUUUUCAACUUGAGUUCGUGGUUUUUUUUAACUUGAGGUUGUGGAAAUUGUUAUACUUGAGACCUGGGUAUAGGUCGAACUUGAGUUUUUUUUUUAACAUGAGUUUGUGUCGUGUUUGAACUUGAGUUUGUGGUGUUUUUGGACUUGAGUUUGUGGUGUUUUUAACUUAAGGGUGUGCCAAAUGUUAAACUUGAGAAACUGGUAUUGGUUGAACUAGAGUUUUUGGUGUUUUUGAACUUGAGUUUUUGGAAAUUGUUAAACUUGAGAAUCAGAUGUUAGAUGAACUUGAGUUAGUGUGUUUUUUGAACUUGAGUUUGUGUCAUGUUUUAACUUGAGUUUGUGAUGUUUUUGAAUUUGAGUUUGUUUGUUUGUUGAACUUGAGUUUGUGUUGUGUUUGAACUUGAAUUUGUGGCAAAUGUUGAACUUGAGUUUGUGCUUUUUGGUGAACUUUAGUUGGUGGGAAUUGUUGAACUUGAGUUUGUGGCAUAUGUUGAACUUGAGUUUGUGACGUGUUUGAACUUGCGUUAGUUUUUUUUUUUACUUGAGGUUGUGGUGUUUUUGAACUUGAGGUUUUGGAAAUUGUUUAACUUGAGAAUUGGGUAUUGGUUUAACUUGAGUUUGUGUGUUUGUUGAACUUGAGGUUGUGGCAAUUGUUAAACUUGAGUUUGUGGUGUUUUUGAACUUGAGUUUGUGUGUUUUUUGAACUUGAGUUUGCGGUGUGUUUGAACUAGAGUUUCUGUUGUUUUUGAACUUGAGUUUGUGGCAUUUGUUGAACUUGAGUUUGUGACGUGUUUGAACUUGGGUUUGUGUGUUUUUUGAACUUGAAUUUCUGUUGUUUUUGAACUUGAGGUAUUGGAAAUUGUUAAACCUUAGAAUCAGCUGUUGGUUGAACUUGAGUUUGUGUUUUGUUGAACUUGAGUUUGUGUUGUGUUUGAACUUGAGUUUGUGGUGUUUUUGAACUUAAGUUUGUGGUGUUUUUGAACUUGAGUUUGCGGUGUGUUUGAACUAGAGUUUCUGUUGUUUUUGAACUUGAGUUUGUGGCAUUUGUUGAACUUGAGUUUGGGACGUGUUUGAACUUGGGUUUGUGUGUUUUUUGAACUUGAAUUUCUGUUGUUUUUGAACUUGAGGUAUUGGAAAUUGUUAAACCUUAGAAUCAGCUGUUGGUUGAACUUGAGUUUGUGUUUUCUUGAACUUGAGUUUGUGUCGUGUUUGAACUUUAGUUUGUGGUGUUUUUGAACUUGAGUUUGUGUGUUUGUUGAACUUGAGUUUGUGUUGUGUUUGAACUUGAGUUUGUGGUGUUUUUGAACUUAAGUUUGUGGUGUUUUUCAAUUUGAGUUUGUGUGUUUGUUGAACUUGAGUUUGCGGUGUGUUUGAACUAGAGUUUCUGUUGUUUUUGAACUUGAGUUUGUGGCAUUUGUUGAACUUGAGUUUGUGACGUGUUUGAACUUGGGUUUGUGUGUUUUUUGAACUUGAAUUUCUGUUGUUUUUGAACUUGAGGUAUUGGAAAUUGUUAAACCUUAGAAUCAGCUGUUGGUUGAACUUGAGUUUGUGUUUUGUUGAACUUGAGUUUGUGUCGUGUUUGAACUUUAGUUUGUGGUGUUUUUGAACUUGAGCUUGUGUGUUUGUUGAACUUGAGUUUGUGUUGUGUUUGAACUUGAGGUUGUGGCAAUUGUUAAACUUGAGUUUGUGGUGUUUUUGAACUUGAGUUUGCGGUGUGUUUGAGCUAGAGUUUCUGUUGUUUUUGAAUUUGAGUUUGUGGCAUUUGUUGAACUUGAGUUUGUGACAUGUUUGAACUUGGGUUUGUGUGUUUUUUGAACUUGAAUUUCUGUUGUUUUUGAACUUGAGGUAUUGGAAAUUGUUAAACCUUUGAAUCAGCUGUUGGUUGAACUUGAGUUUGUGUUUUGUUGAACUUGAGUUUGUGUCGUGUUUGAACUUUGGUUUGUGGUGUUUUUGAACUUGAGUUUGUGGUGUUUUUGAACUUAAGUUUGUGGUGUUUUUCAACUUGAGUUCGUGGUUUUUUUUAACUUGAGGUUGUGGAAAUUGUUAUACUUGAGACCUGGGUAUAGGUCGAACUUGAGUUUUUUUUUUUUUAACAUGAGUUUGUGUCGUGUUUGAACUUGAGUUUGUGGUGUUUUUGGACUUGAGUUUGUGGUGUUUUUAACUUAAAGGUUUGCCAAUGUUAAACUUGAGAAACUGGUAUUGGUUGAACUAGAGUUUUUGGUGUUUUUGAACUUGAGUUUUUGGAAAUUGUUAAACUUGAGAAUCAGAUGUUGGAUGAACUUGAGUUAGUGUGUUUUUUGAACUUGAGUUUGUGUCAUGUUUUAACUUGAGUUUGUGAUGUUUUUGAAUUUGAGUUUGUGUGUUUGUUGAACUUGAGUUUGUGUUGUGUUUGAACUUGAAUUUGUGGCAAAUGUUGAACUUGAGUCUGUGCUUUUUGGUGAACUUUAGUUGGUGGGAAUUGUUGAACUUGAGUUUGUGGCAUAUGUUGAACUUGAGUUUGUGACGUGUUUGAACUUGCGUUAGUUUUUUUUACUUGAGGUUGUGGUGUUUUUGAACUUGAGGUUUUGGAAAUUGUUUAACUUGAGAAUUGGGUAUUGGUUUAACUUGAGUUUGUGUGUUUGUUGAACUUGAGGUUGUGGCAAUUGUUAAACUUGAGUUUGUGGUGUUUUUGAACUUGAGUUUGUGUGUUUUUUGAACUUGAGUUUGCGGUGUGUUUGAACUAGAGUUUCUGUUGUUUUUGAACUUGAGUUUGUGGCAUUUGUUGAACUUGAGUUUGUGACGUGUUUGAACUUGGGUUUGUGUGUUUUUUGAACUUGAAUUUCUGUUGUUUUUGAACUUGAGGUAUUGGAAAUUGUUAAACCUUAGAAUCAGCUGUUGGUUGAACUUGAGUUUGUGUUUUGUUGAACUUGAGUUUGUGUUGUGUUUGAACUUGAGUUUGUGGUGUUUUUGAACUUAAGUUUGUGGUGUUUUUGAACUUGUGUUUGUGUGUUUGUUGAACUUGAGUUUGCGGUGUGUUUGAACUAGAGUUUCUGUUGUUUUUGAACUUGAGUUUGUGGCAUUUGUUGAACUUGAGUUUGGGACGUGUUUGAACUUGGGUUUGUGUGUUUUUUGAACUUGAAUUUCUGUUGUUUUUGAACUUGAGGUAUUGGAAAUUGUUAAACCUUAGAAUCAGCUGUUGGUUGAACUUGAGUUUGUGUUUUGUUGAACUUGAGUUUGUGUCGUGUUUGAACUUUGGUUUGUGGUGUUUUUGAACUUGAGUUUGUGGUGUUUUUGAACUUAAGUUUGUGGUGUUUUUCAACUUGAGUUCGUGGUUUUUUUUAACUUGAGGUUGUGGAAAUUGUUAUUUUGAGACCUGGGUAUAGGUCGAACUUGAGUUUUUUUUAACAUGAGUUUGUGUCGUGUUUGAACUUGAGUUUGUGGUGUUUUUGGACUUGAGUUUGUGGUGUUUUUAACUUAAGGGUGUGCCAAAUGUUAAACUUGAGAAACUGGUAUUGGUUGAACUAGAGUUUUUGGUGUUUUUGAACUUGAGUUUUUGGAAAUUGUUAAACUUGAGAAUCAGAUGUUGGAUGAACUUGAGUUAGUGUGUUUUUUGAACUUGAGUUUGUGUCAUGUUUUAACUUGAGUUUGUGAUGUUUUUGAAUUUGAGUUUGUGUGUUUGUUGAACUUGAGUUUGUGUUGUGUUUGAACUUGAAUUUGUGGCAAAUGUUGAACUUGAGUCUGUGCUUUUUGGUGAACUUUAGUUGGUGGGAAUUGUUGAACUUGAGUUUGUGGCAUAUGUUGAACUUGAGUUUGUGACGUGUUUGAACUUGCGUUAGUUUUUUUUUUACUUGAGGUUGUGGUGUUUUUGAACUUGAGGUUUUGGAAAUUGUUUAACUUGAGAAUUGGGUAUUGGUUUAACUUGAGUUUGUGUGUUUGUUGAACUUGAGGUUGUGGCAAUUGUUAAACUUGAGUUUGUGGUGUUUUUGAACUUGAGUUUGUGUGUUUUUUGAACUUGAGUUUGCGGUGUGUUUGAACUAGAGUUUCUGUUGUUUUUGAACUUGAGUUUGUGGCAUUUGUUGAACUUGAGUUUGUGACGUGUUUGAACUUGGGUUUGUGUGUUUUUUGAACUUGAAUUUCUGUUGUUUUUGAACUUGAGGUAUUGGAAAUUGUUAAACCUUAGAAUCAGCUGUUGGUUGAACUUGAGUUUGUGUUUUGUUGAACUUGAGUUUGUGUCGUGUUUGAACUUGAGUUUGUGGUGUUUUUGAACUUGAGUUUGUGUGUUUGUUGAACUUGAGUUUGUGUUGUGUUUGAACUUGAGUUUGUGGUGUUUUUGAACUUAAGUUUGUGGUGUUUUUGAACUUGAGUUUGUGUGUUUGUUGAACUUGAGUUUGCGGUGUGUUUGAACUAGAGUUUCUGUUGUUUUUGAACUUGAGUUUGUGGCAUUUGUUGAACUUGAGUUUGUGACGUGUUUGAACUUGGGUUUGUGUGUUUUUUGAACUUGAGCUUGUGUGUUUGUUGAACUUGAGUUUGUGUUGUGUUUGAACUUGAGGUUGUGGCAAUUGUUAAACUUGAGUUUGUGGUGUUUUUGAACUUGAGUUUUCGGUGUGUUUGAACUAGAGUUUCUGUUGUUUUUGAAUUUGAGUUUGUGGCAUUUGUUGAACUUGAGUUUGUGACAUGUUUGAACUUGGGUUUGUGUGUUUUUUGAACUUGAAUUUCUGUUGUUUUUGAACUUGAGGUAUUGGAAAUUGUUAAACCUUAGAAUCAGCUGUUGGUUGAACUUGAGUUUGUGUUUUGUUGAACUUGAGUUUGUGUCGUGUUUGAACUUUGGUUUGUGGUGUUUUUGAACUUGAGUUUGUGUGUUUGUUGAACUUGAGUUUGUGUUUUGUUGAACUUGAGUUUGUGUCGUGUUUGAACUUUGUUUUGUGGUGUUUUUGAACUUGAGUUUGUGUGUUUGUUGAACUUGAGUUUGUGUUGUGUUUGAACUUGAGUUUGUGGUGUUUUUGAACUUAAGUUUGUGGUGUUUUUCAACUUGAGUUUGUGGUUUUUUUUAACUUGGUGUAUUUGAAAUUGUUAUACUUGAGACCUGGGUAUAGGUCGAACUUGAGUUUUUUUUUUUUAACAUGAGUUUGUGUCGUGUUUGAACUUGAGCUUGUGGUGUUUUUGGACUUGAGUUUGUGGUGUUUUUAACUUAAGGGUGUGCCAAAUGUUAAACUUGAGAAACUGGUAUUGGUUGAACUAGAGUUUUUGGUGUUUUUGAACUUGAGUUUUUGGAAAUUGUUAAACUUGAGAAUCAGAUGUUGGAUGAACUUGAGUUAGUGUGUUUUUUGAACUUGAGUUUGUGUCAUGUUUUAACUUGAGUUUGUGAUGUUUUUGAAUUUGAGUUUGUGUGUUUGUUGAACUUGAGUUUGUGUUGUGUUUGAACUUGAAUUUGUGGCAAAUGUUGAACUUGAGUCUGUGCUUUUUGGUGAACUUUAGUUGGUGGGAAUUGUUGAACUUGAGUUUGUGGCAUAUGUUGAACUUGAGUUUGUGACGUGUUUGAACUUGCGUUAGUUUUUUUUUUACUUGAGUUUGUGGUGUUUUUGAACUUGAGGUUUUGGAAAUUGUUUAACUUGAGAAUUGGGUAUUGGUUUAACUUGAGUUUGUGUGUUUGUUGAACUUGAGGUUGUGGCAAUUGUUAAACUUGAGUUUGUGGUGUUUUUGAACUUGAGUUUGUGUGUUUUUUGAACUUGAGUUUGCGGUGUGUUUGAACUAGAGUUUCUGUUGUUUUUGAACUUGAGUUUGUGGCAUUUGU